rnacentral:rRNA from 1 species
AACAAACGCUGGCGGCGUGCCUAAUACAUGCAAGUCGAACGGGGAAAGCUUUCGGGUGAGUACUAGUGGCGCACGGGUGAGGAACGCGUGGAUAAUCUGCCUUAGAGUGGGGGAUAACUAGUCGAAAGAUUAGCUAAUACCGCAUAAGACCACGAGAGCUGCGGCUUUUGGGGUCAAAGGUUUUUCGCUCUAAGAUGAGUCCGCGUAAGAUUAGCUAGUUGGUGAGGUAACGGCUCACCAAGGCGACGAUCUUUAACUGGUCUGAGAGGAUGAUCAGUCACACUGGAACUGAGACACGGUCCAGACUCCUACGGGAGGCAGCAGUAGGGAAUAUUGCACAAUGGAGGAAACUCUGAUGCAGCGACGCCGCGUGAGAGAUGAAGGCCUUCGGGUCGUAAAGCUCUGUCGCAGGGGAAUAACACAAUGAAGGUACCCUGUAAGAAAGGAUCGGCUAACUUCGUG